AAAUUUUGAGAAGAUACAGCCUGUACACCAACCAGCAUUGGAGGCAUCAUGGCUUCUGGAGAAAGAAGAUACAGCCACAAGAAGCCUCUGAGGAGCCUCCAGCUCACAAGGACAGAGGAGGUGGAGAGAGGCCAGUCAACGCGAGGGUGGUGCGGGUGGCCCCUCUGAGGCCUGGUUUUGCUCUUUGUGGGUACGCUGUACAAGACAUCUCUAAAGAAGACACUGUAUAUGACAUCUGUAAUGAGGAUGCUGUAGACAUCUCUGAUGAGGACACUGUAGAUAUCUCUAAUGAGGCUUCUGUACAUGACAUCUCUAAUGAGGCUGCUGUAUGUGACAUCUCUAACGAUGCCGUAAACAUCUCUAAUGAGGCUGCUGUACGUGACAUCUCUAAUGACGCUGUAGACAUCUGUAAUGAGGCUGCUGUACAUGACAUCUCUAAUGAGGACACUAUAGAAGACAUUUCUUAUGAGGACACUGUAUACGACAUCACUAAUGAGGAUGCUGUACGAUACCUCUGUAAAAAAGAUGCUACCAAGGAGCCAUUGACACUGGAGAAUGAUUUGAUUGUGGAGAGCAUGUCUGAUGACGAGGAUUUUGCAGCUUAAAGGGAGCUCCCGGGGUGAGUGAUGGAGGCGGGAUCGGACCCUGGCAGUUUGACGGCAACACCUGUGUUCCUCUGCACUGGGCCGUGGAUGACAUUACACACCUUGGUGAGAAUCAGGAAUUGAGGCUAAUCACAUCUGAAAUUGAGCUCGCUCACUGGACAGGAUAGACUGGGCGCCCAGGCCUCAAGGGCUUAUGAUUUCUUCUCGGGUUUGAAACAUGCCCCCAGAUGAGCAAGACGGGGCUGCCACAUUGACGGAGCAGCUGCGGGACACACCCAAGAAACCUCCUGGAGAACACAGGGGACAUUCACGGCUGGAGGCUUCAUCUAUGGCCGGGGGCUUCAUCCAUGAGCUGGGGACUUCAUCCAUGGGCUGGGGACUUCAUCCAUGACUGGGGACCUCAUCCACGUCUGGAGACUUCAUCCGCGACUGGGGGCUUCAUCCAUGGGCUGGGGGAUUCAUCCACGGGCUGGGGGCUUCAUCCAUCACUGGGGGCUUCAUCCACGGGCUGGGGGCUUCAUCCAUGACUGGGGGCUUCAUCCACGGGCUGGGGGCUUCAUCCAUGGGCUGGGGGCUUCAUCCAUGACUGGGGGCUUCAUCCACGGGCUGGGGGCUUCAUCCAUGACUGGGGACUUCAUCCACGACUGGAGACUUCAUCCAUAGGCUGGGGGCUUCAUCUACAGCUGGAGACUUCAUCCACAGCAGGGGCUUCAUCCUUGGUUGGUUUGCCUGAUCUGUAUCCUAACGUUGUCCGGUCUGCAGAUGGCGGCGGCUGCUGAGGGAGCUCCUUCCCCUCCUCCCGCCUACCCUGCUAGGGCUAGGCCACAGAUACACAGGGCGAGUGGGAGUGUCUAGGGGAGAAGAUUUUAUUUCAC
rnacentral:lncRNA from 1 species